rnacentral:rRNA from 1 species
UACGGAGGGUGCGAGCGUUGUCCGGAAUCACUGGGCGUAAAGGGCGCGUAGGCGGCCUGAUAAGUAGGGGGUGAAAUCCUGCGGCUUAACCGCAGGGCUGCCUUCUAAACUGUCAGGCUGGAGCACAGUAGAGGCAGGUGGAAUUCCCGGUGUAGUGGUGAAAUGCGUAGAUAUCGGGAGGAACACCAGUGGCGAAGGCGACUACCUGGCCUGUUCUUGACGCUGAGGCGCGAAAGCUAGGGGAGCAAACGGG